AUACGGAGGGUGCAAGCGUUGUCCGGAUUUAUUGGGUUUAAAGGGUGCGUAGGUGGCGUGUUAAGUCAGUGGUGAAAGCCUGCAGCUCAACUGUAGAGGUGCCAUGGAUACUGACAUGCUUGAGUAUGGACGAGGUAGGCGGAAUUUGUGGUGUAGCGAUGAAAUGCAUAGAUACCACAAAGAACACCGAUAGCGAAGGCAGCUUACUGGACCAUAACUGACACUGAGGCACGAAAGCGUGGGGAGCAAACAGGAUUAGAAACCCUAGUAGUCC
rnacentral:rRNA from 1 species